UACGUAGGCAGCGAGCGUUGUUCGGAGUUACUGGGCGUAAAGAGUGCGUAGGCGGUUUUCUAAGUUUGGUGUGAAAUCUCCCGGCUUAACUGGGAGGGUGCGCCGAAGACUGGAAGGCUUGAGUAUGGGAGAGGUAAGCGGAAUUCCUGGUGUAGCGGUGAAAUGCGUAGAUAUCAGGAGGAACACCUGCGGUGUAGACGGCUUACUGGACCAUAACUGACGCUGAGGCACGAAAGCGCGGGUAGCAAACAGG
rnacentral:rRNA from 1 species